UGGCCUGGACAGAGAUCACAUCAUUUCACAGUGUAAAGGAAUAAAAGGCACAGAUUCUGCCUGAAUAAGGGUUAUUUAUUACCAAACCAAUAAUUCCUGAGGGAAACAAGAGGAAGGCUGCACCUCAGCAGUGCUCAGGUGCCCCAGCUGGAAUGAAAAGGUGACAAACAAUCUGCAGCUGCAAGCACUUUGGGGCAGGAAGGCAGAGAUUUGUGUCCUGGCUGAGUGGCUAAAGGAGAACAUCAACAGUUUAUCAGUUCAAAGGACAAGAAGCACUUCUGGAGUCUGAGGCUCAAUAGAUGCCAGGAUCUCACUCCUGCAAGAAUGGGGAGAGAGGCAGGUCACUCCUCCAGGUCUCUACAUGUGUGCAUGAUGAGCACUUGAAGGUCUUCUACAAGGACAUAACCAAUACCUCCUGGGAUAUUCCUGCCUGUGAGGGAUUUGUUAAGGUUUCACAAGCACACCAGGCUGAAACUGCUGUUCCUCAAUCCUCCCGUUUCCUGUCACUAAGGUGUGAUGGAGGAAAUCCUACUUUUAAAUGACAGCACUGCAUCCAGCUUGGACUUGCCCUAUUGUGGGAUCUGGUGACAAGGAGGGAUCAGCACCAACAAAGAGAUGAGAGAAGAAAUGCAAAAGCCAACCAUGAAACCAUCUGUCCUCUUCCCUUCCUCCACAAUGUCUCCGUUCAGGUUGCUUCAGCUGCAAGAACCUUUACCCUAAAGAUGCCAAGAUUUUCCUAGAGCUUGCAUGGAACAAAAGAAAAUUUUGUGUCUGUUCAACUCAGUGCCAGAAUGCAAUGCUGAGCCUCAGUGUUGUACAUAAUUCCUUUUCAUCAUGUGCUCUUUUGUCUUUUAGUAAGUUUAAAUAACACUUCUGUGAUUUUCAAGUUGUCUUUUUGAGCCUCAUGUUCUUCCAAAGCCCUCUUCCCCUAUUCUGCAAUUGGCCAUUUGAAGCCCCAAUUUUCUCUUCAGCUCUUGAAAGAACUGAAAUACUUUUUGUUGAGAGAGCGUUCAGCACACUCAAAAAUAUGAAUAAAAUGUCUCUGAACAAUUAAUUGAUACUUAUAUUUUAUUCACCUUCCGUACCCUUUCCAAGGAUGAAAUGCUGUUCCUGUAAUGUCUUUGCAAGUGGAAAGUUUGGACUUAAAUUAAUAACAAUUUCAAACUAAGAGAAAAAUUAUUUCUCAUCCAUUUGAUUAAUCAAAUCCAGCAUGAAAUAUUUAUAUAGAUAAAUUAAAAGAUAUGAAUCAAAGUGAAAGUCUGGAGCCAAGAGACCACUGCGAUUAUUUAGAUAAAAGAAAAAUCAAAACAGAAAAGAUAAAUUAUGUAAUUAAGCAGUUGACUGCACUCCUGCACUACAGCAGGUUUCUAAAAACAGCCUGAACUGUGUUACAGUGGAACUUCAGCUUUGCCACAGCUUUGGACAUCAAUGUUCCCUCUCUUCUUCCCUUCAGUGAGGUUGUGAUUGAGGAACUGAGCAACAAUGAAGUUUUCCUUCAGAUUUAUUGGAUUGCAUAAGGUGCCACCUUCAGUAGUAAUUUCUUCAAUACAGCUGCCUAAACACAAGAAACAUAGAAGCAAACCCAAGGAAUAUAGUGAAAAUAGAAAAAUAAAGGAAAGAAAGGGCAGUAUUUAAUAAAGUCUAAGCUCCUAGUGCUGAAUUGGAAUGGCAGACACCUGGGACUGCUUUUUACAAUGAUGGGACAACAUAUUCCAGAAAAGGCUGACAUUUGGAAAAAAUCUUGUAAACAGAUGCCAAGCAGGAUGAGACACAUUCCCUUAGGAGGUUUAAGGACUAAGAACCUGUGUAUUCUUAUCAGCUCAUCAAGCUGUAAUCAAAGUUUAAUAUAAACAAUAAAAUAUCAAUAUCUUG